GACGAACGCUGGCGGCGUGCUUAACACAUGCAAGUCGAACGGAAAGGCCUCUUUCGGGGGGUACUCGAGUGGCGAACGGGUGAGUAACACGUGAGUAACCUGCCCUUGACUUUGGGAUAACUUCAGGAAACUGGGGCUAAUACCGGAUAGGAGCUCCUGCUGCAUGGUGGGGGUUGGAAAGUUUCGGCGGUUGGGGAUGGACUCGCGGCUUAUCAGCUUGUUGGUGGGGUAGUGGCUUACCAAGGCUUAGACGGGUAGCCGGCCUGAGAGGGUGACCGGCCACAUUGGGACUGAGAUACGGCCCAGACUCCUACGGGAGGCAGCAGUGGGGAAUAUUGCACAAUGGGUGGAAGCCUGAUGCAGCAACGCCGUGUGCGGGAUGACGGCCUUCGGGUUGUAAACCGCUUUCGCUCAUGACGAAGCUUUGUGUGACGGUAGUGGGUAAAGAAGCACCGGCUAACUACGUG
rnacentral:rRNA from 1 species